GACAGAGGUGGCGAGCGUUGCUCGGAUUUACUGGGCUUAAAGGGCGCGUAGGUGGCCUUGUAAGUCAAAGGUGGAAUUCCACAGCUCAACUGUGGAACUGCCUUUGAUACUGCAAGGCUUGAGUCAGGUAGAGGAGGGCGGAAUUCCCGGUGUAGCGGUGAAAUGCGUAGAUAUCGGGAGGAAGGCCGGUGGCGAAGGCGGCCCUCUGGGCCUGUACUGACGCUCAUGCACGAAAGCGUGGGGAGCAAACAGG
rnacentral:rRNA from 1 species